CCAGGCUCGCAACCCUGCUCCCCCCUCGCUCAGGGCCGCCCAGCGCCCCCGGCGGGUCCCCGGCCCCCGGGAAGCAGGGGGCCCCAGGGCGCAGCCGCCCGCCCUCACCCGAAGGCCCCUCGGGUGGUUGCGGGCGCCUGGCUUCUGCUUCCUCGAAGAAAAGUUACUCCGGGACCAGCGCGAUGGGAAAGGGAAAGCCACGCUCCCAGGGCGGCGAGCGUAUUGCCUGAGAAAGAAACCUCAAAAUGGAGGGGGAAGAGGAAGAAAUGGCUGGUUCUCAGGCUCCAGACGCGCAGGCUCAGCGGCCAUGGCCCACGGGCCCAGCGGCUCCGCGGCACGUGGGAUCCUCCCGGAGCGGGCCACGAACCCGUGUCCCCCGCAUCGGCAAGCUGACUUCCAACCACUGCGCCACCAGGGAAGCCCCUGGUCACUUUUUUGAGCAGAGAAAAGAACCCUGGGAUGUGAAGAGAAGGAGACAACAGUCAUACACCAAGCAGCCUCAAAUCAAAGGUGGUUAGGAGCACUUUAUCUGCAGGAGCUAGGGGAGAGGUUUUUCCAGAGAAGACACCACAUCAAAGCAAAGAUAAUAUUUGAUUGUAUCUUUACCAGUCACCUUGUGUUUGGAAAGCCUAGUUGGCUGUGUGUGAUUGGUUGUUCUUAAUUUAUUUUCUCAGAUUAAAGUGCCUUGACUCUGGAUUAAGUUUUGUUUGCUUAAACAGGCUACCAAAGCAUGAAAGUCACCUCAGCCUAAUGGCCUCCUUGUUUAAUUGCUUUAACACUGGAAACGCAGUGUUAUAAUGGGAUAUUAUACUUUUCACUCAUUCGCACGGUAAUUUAGCAAUGCUCCACAUAAUGUAGAAAUGCAUAGUCACGUUGGUGCAAAAAUUUCAUGUCCCAGAACCACCCAGAUAAGCCACAUGUAUACAAAUCAAAGAUCCACAUUCUCUGAUCACAGGAGAAAAACACAUGCAACUAUGCAUAUGCAUA